AGGUAUCUACCCUGACUACCCGUGCCAACCUUUGGCUUCUUGGGCCCUUCUUUUUCGCGUCCUCCAAAGAAAGUUUCUCUACAAUAAUUGGAGUUGGUGUUGGAGCUGGAGCCUACAUCCUGGCGAGAUAUGCUGUAAGAAAUAAAAAGCCCAGAGGAGGGAAAGGAGGGUCCAGACUGAUUAGGAGAAUACUGUUUAUUAGUGCUGUUUGGGGGAGGAAGUGGGCACUAGGUGGGGAGUCAGGCCCUGUGGGAGUCCAGGAGUGGGUCGAGCUUAGCGGGGAGGGGAUAAGGCCAUGCCCUGUUUCUCAUUUCCUUCCUUCUGCUGUCCCUCAGCUUAACCACCCGGACACUGUUGAAGGUCUUGUCCUCAUCAACAUUGAUCCCAAUGCCAAGGGUUGGAUGGAUUGGGCAGCCCACAAGGUUUGGAGGGGCCUGUGUGCUGAGACCUACGGUUGGGGAUCCCCUCGUAUGGAUCCAGUUAGGCUCUGGUAGAUAGCCUAACUGGAUGGACUCUGAACUUCAAGGAGGGAGUAAAGGGGCAGGAAAGUGAAGC
rnacentral:lncRNA from 1 species